rnacentral:rRNA from 1 species
GAUGAACGCUAGCUACAGGCUUAACACAUGCAAGUCGAGGGGCAGCAUGAACUUAGCUUGCUAAGUUUGAUGGCGACCGGCGCACGGGUGAGUAACACGUAUCCAACCUGCCGAUGACUCGGGGAUAGCCUUUCGAAAGAAAGAUUAAUACCCGAUGGCAUAGUUCUUCCGCAUGGUAGAACUAUUAAAGAAUUUCGGUCAUCGAUGGGGAUGCGUUCCAUUAGGUUGUUGGCGGGGUAACGGCCCACCAAGCCUUCGAUGGAUAGGGGUUCUGAGAGGAAGGUCCCCCACAUUGGAACUGAGACACGGUCCAAACUCCUACGGGCGGCAGCAGUGAGGAAUAUUGGUCAAUGGACGAGAGUCUGACCCAGCCAAGUAGCGUGAAGGAUGACUGCCCUAUGGGUUGUAAACUUCUUUUAUACGGGAAUAAAGUGAGGCACGUGUGCCUUUUUGUAUGUACCGUAUGAAUAAGGAUCGGCUAACUCCGUG